rnacentral:rRNA from 1 species
UGCAGUCGAACGAAGUAGCAAUACUUAGUGGCAAACGGGUGAGUAUAAUGUGGGAAUCUGCCCUUUGGUUUGGAAUAACAUGAGGAAACUUAUGCUAAUACCGGAUAAGUCUUUACAGAGAAAGCUUUAUGCGCCGAAGGAUGAGCCUGCACUUGAUUAGUUAGUUGGUAAGGUAAUGGCUUACCAAGACAAUGAUCAAUAGCUGAUUUGAGAGGAUGAUCAGCCACAUUGGGACUGAGACACGGCCCAAACUCCUACGGGAGGCAGCAGUGGGGAAUAUUGCACAAUGGGAGAAAUCCUGAUGCAGCGAUGCCGCGUGAGUGAAGAAGGCCUUUGGGUUGUAAAGCUCUUUCGUCGGGGAAGAAAAUGACUGUACCCGAAUAAGAAGGUCCGGCUAACUUCGUGCCAGCAGCCGCGGUAAUACGAAGGGACCUAGCGUAGUUCGGAAUUACUGGGCUUAAAGAGCACGUAGGUGGUUGAAAAAGUUAGUGGUGAAAUCCCAAGGCUUAACCUUGGAACUGCCAUUAAAACUUUUUAACUAGAGUAUGAUAGAGGUAAGCGGAAUUUCUAGUGUAGAGGUGAAAUUCGUAGAUAUUAGAAAGAACACCAAUUGCGAAGGCAGCUUUCUGGAUCAUUACUGACACUGAGGAGCGAAAGCAUGGGUAGCGAAGAGGAUUAGAUACCCUCGUAGUCCAUGCCGUAAACGAUGUGUGCUA